UGCAGUCGAACGAGAAGCGGAGCAAUCCGUGAGUAAAGUGGCGUACGGGUGAGUAACACGUGGAUCAUCUGCCCUAGAGUGGGGAAUAACAAGGGGAAACCUUUGCUAAUACCGCAUAAUCCCGAGAGGGGAAAGCAGCAAUGCGCUCAAGGAGGAGUCCGCGGUCGAUUAGCUAGUUGGUAGGGUAAUGGCCUACCAAGGCUACGAUCGAUAGCCGGCCUGAGAGGGCACACGGCCACACUGGCACUGAAACACGGGCCAGACUCCUACGGGAGGCAGCAGUGGGGAAUCUUGCACAAUGGAGGCAACUCUGAUGCAGCGACGCCGCGUGAGCGAUGAAGCCCUUCGGGGUGUAAAGCUCUUUCGUCAGGGAAGAUUAUGACGGUACCUGGAGAAGCAGCUGCGGCUAACUACGUGCCAGCAGCCGCGGUAAUACGUAGGCAGCAAGCGUUGUUCGGAGUUACUGGGCGUAAAGGGUGUGUAGGCGGCCUUCUAAGUUUGGUGUGAAAUCUCCCGGCUCAACCGGGAGGGUGCGCCGAAGACUGGGGGGCUAGAGUAUGGGAUGGGAAAGUGGAAUUCCUGGUGUAGCGGUGAAAUGCGUAGAUAUCAGGAGGAACACCUGCGGUGUAGACGGCUUUCUGGACCAUAACUGACGCUGAGACACGAAAGCGUGGGUAGCAAACAGGAUUAGAUACCCUGGUAGUCCACGCCCUAAACGAUGCAUAU
rnacentral:rRNA from 1 species